UACGUAGGGUGCAGGCGUUAAUCGGAAUUACUGGGCGUAAAGCGUGCGCAGGCGGUUUUCUAAGUCAGAUGUGAAAUCCCCGGGCUUAACCUGGGAACUGCGUUUGAAACUGGGAGGCUAGAGUGCGGCAGAGGGGGGUGGAAUUCCACGUGUAGCAGUGAAAUGCGUAGAUAUGUGGAGGAACACCGAUGGCGAAGGCAGCCCCCGGGGCCUGCACUGACGCUCAUGCACGAAAGCGUGGGGAGCAAACAGG
rnacentral:rRNA from 1 species